CCGACAUUUCUAACAAAGUUUUUUGUCAAUUGAAUAAAUAAAAUCCAAGAUGGCCAAGUUUAUUAUUUCAAUGCUGGUAUCUCUGUUAAUCGUAAAGAUUUGCGCUCAAGACUGUUUAAAGACUGGGGCAACUUGUGAGGAAGAUGACGAGUGCUGCAACAAAAAAUGUUCAGAGUUCGGGGGAGACAAAAGUUGUUUGGCAACAGAUGAAGAAAUUGAAAAAGUUAAGAAAGA